CAUUGGAUCUAACCCUAUCGAAGCCUUGUAUAACCAGUUCGCUGGGGGGGNNNUAAACUACGUCAGUCGUUGAUUUCCCCAGUGGGCAAGANANGCCUGUUGCAGGAAACCCUUUUAGAAUAAAUAAUUGGGUGACCCGCAGCCGUCAGCUUAGCUGACGGUCAACAGAUCAAACGCAUGUCGUUCCGUCCGCCGGCCACCUACUAAGUAAGCCCUUCGUUAAUUUUCUCCAGUCGUUCCGGUAAUUUCUAUAUAAAGCUCAGAGGCCCGUCGGAAAUCAAGAAAAUAGUUGCUAGGCGGUCUGUAGGGUUUAAUAGAGUUGACUAGAAGAAUUUUUUUUAGAAAGGUUUUAGUGGGCUCGCGGUUGGGAUUAAGAGAUGAUCGAUUAGCUAAGGUCUCCUUUAGCUAUUCAAGUUCCGUAGGUGAACCUGCGGAAGGAUCAUUACCGAGAAUAGGGUCCCCCGGGCCCGAACCUCCACCCGCUGUGAAUUGACCUUUGUUGCUUUGGCGGGCCGUGAAGCUUCGGCUUCCCGUCGACUUCGGUGGACGUGCGCUCGUCAGAAGCCCCCUGAACUCUGAUUAACAAGUGAUGUCCGAGCAAUGUCGAAUCGGUGAAAACUUUCAACAACGGAUCUCUUGGUUCUGGCAUCGAUGAAGAACGCAGCGAAAUGCGAUAAGUAAUGUGAAUUGCAGAAUUCAGUGAAUCAUCGAAUCUUUGAACGCACAUUGCGCCCCCUGGUAUUCCGGGGGGCAUGCCUGUUCGAGCGUCAUUACACCCCUCAAGCGUAGCUUGGUCUUGGGAACCGCCCCCCGGGACGUCCCCGAAAAUCAGCGGCGACGCGGUCGGUCUUCGUGCGCAGUAAAACUUUUGUUCGCAUUCGGAGCCCGGGCGCAUCCGCCGGAUAACCCCUGGAUCUUUCAUAAUUGACCUCGGAUCAGGUAGGGAUACCCGCUGAACUUAAGCAUAUCAAUAAGCGGAGGAAAAGAAACCAACAGGGAUUGCCCCAGUAACGGCGAGUGAAGCGGCAACAGCUCAAAUUU
rnacentral:rRNA from 1 species